rnacentral:rRNA from 1 species
UACGGAGGGUGCGAGCGUUGUCCGGAAUCACUGGGCGUAAAGGGCGCGUAGGCGGCGCGGGAAGUCAUCGGUGAAAGUUCAGGGCUCAACUCUGAAUCGGCCGGUGAUACUCUCGUGCUCGAGCACUGUAGAGGCAGGUGGAAUUCCGGGUGGUAGCGGUGGAAUGCGUAGAGAUCCGGAGGAACACCGACGGCGCAGGCAGCGUCCUGGCCGCUUGCUGACACUGAGGCACGAAAGCUGGGGGAGCAAACAGG